CCAAUAGCGUAUAUUAAAGUUGUUGCAGUUAAAAAGCUCGUAGUUGAAUUUCGGAAUUUUUUUAUCGGUUGAAUCAACAGGUUCGUACUGAUUUUAAGAAUUUCUACCUUCUGGAGAACCUUAAUGUCAUUUAUUUGAUGUUUUGGGAAACCAGGACUGUUACCUUGAAAAAAUUAGAGUGUUUAAAGCAGGCUUAUGUCUGAAUAUAUUAGCAUGGAAUAAUGAAAUAGGACGGCAUGGUUCUAUUUUGUUGGUUUCUAGGAUCACCGUAAUGAUUAAUAGGGAUAGUUGGGGGCAUUAGUAUUCAAUUGUCAGAGGUGAAAUUCUUGGAUUUAUUGAAGACUAACUUCUGCGAAAGCAUUUGCCAAGGAUGUUUUCAUUAAUCAAGAACGAAAGUUAGGGGAUCGAAGACGAUCAGAUACCGUCGUAGUCUUAACCAUAAACUAUGCCGACUAGGAAUCGGACGAAGUUAAUUUUUUAAUGACUCGUUCGGCGCCUUACG
rnacentral:rRNA from 1 species